rnacentral:rRNA from 1 species
CAAUAGCGUAUAUUAAUGUUGUUGCAGUUAAAAAGCUCGUAGUUGGAUUUCUGGUGGGAGCGGCCGGUCCGCCGUAAGGUGUGUACUUGGUUGUCUCCUGUCAUCCUUGUGGGAACUGCUCUGGCAUUAAGUUGUCGGGGUUAGGGAACACAUCGUUUACUGUGAAAAAAUUAGAGUGUUUAAAGCAGGCUUAUGCCGUUGAAUACAUUAGCAUGGAAUAAUAAGAUAGGACUUUGGCGUCUAUUUUGUUGGUUUGCACACCAAGGUAAUGAUUAAUAGGGAUAGUUGGGGGUAUUCGUAUUUAAUUGUCAGAGGUGAAAUUCUUGGAUUUAUGAAAGACGAACUUCUGCGAAAGCAUUUACCGAAGAUGUUUNCAUUAA